AGUGACAUAGUCGCUACGAUUGUGCACACGCUCGGCUGACUCAGUCGCAUACACUCACUCAUCCCACACGCACUCCAACCCACACGCGCAUCCUUCGCUGUGCGCGCUCACCGAGCUGCUUCGCCACGCCGUCUCUUUAUUUCACGCGGACCAUACACACGGGCACACAAGCAUAGGCCGAAGGAGGCGUUCCUAGUAUAGCAUUAUUUAGCGCUGCUCUGCCCCUUCCACGUAUCUGUCUGCUCCCAACCACGUCCUCCCUUGUUUGAGUUUUUUUUUUCCUUUGCUAUGGACCCCUCUUCUGCAUCCGGGCCUUCUUCUCUUCCUUUGUUGUUGUUGUCGGUUCCAUCUCAGGCAUCUCUGCUUCUUUGCCCAUCCCACACACGCACACACACCAUUUUCUGUGUUGUUGUGUCUCUGUGAGUUUUGAUCAAAGGUGCUUGGGAACGGAAGGCGAAAGCGUGCGUUGCGCGGCUGCUUCCUCCUCCGACGACGACGCUGCUUCGCAGUUGUGUGCUGCCUCUCCUCUUUUUUUUCGCUCUCUUUCUCUGCUCUUCUUCUGAGUGGAGCUGCGGGCAGGAUAAGGACAGCCAAGACAAGCCGGGCGUGGCGCUGCGUAGUUUCUGUUGCUGUUAUUUGUGUUUCCGCGUGUUUUGCGUGCGUGCCGGUGAGACGUAGUUGUGACGUGUUGCGCGUCACCUUUGCCUGGGCCUGUAUGUUUGUCUUCCCCUUCCCUCCUUUUUUUGGUUGUUUGUUUCUCUCUUGGGCUCUCCCUUUUCUGCCCAUUUGCCAUUGCAUAUGUGCUUAGUGAAGUGAAAGCACGUUCCCCCCUCCUCCCCUCAACCACCAUUCCCUGGCAGCUCACCGCAUAACGUCUUGCCGCCUACUCCCCCUCCCUCUCUCUCUCCCUCACUGCCUGCCUCACAGUGCACCCCACCGUCUCCCCUCAGCACCCGCGCCUGCGUGACCAGGUCUUCGAGAGGCGCGCCUGAUAUCUCGCGUUCUUCCCUUUGCCCAUCUCUUAUCAGGCACAGCAACGUCGUUCCUGUCAGCCUCGUGUCUGGCCUUCUUUCCUUUCCCCCAGCGCAGUCGCCCUCCCACGAAACGACGGCGGUACAGCACAAAAACGAACAAAGGGAAAGAAAACAUACAUAAAGGUAGCCCCGAGCUCUAUUUUUCUUUUGUUAUUGUGUGUGUGUGUGUGUCUGUGCUUCAUUGGUAUCUCUGCGUACGCACUUCGUCACUCCUGCGGCCGUUUUCUUUGUUAAUUUUACCCCCCCCCCUCCCCUCCCCAUCUUUUUUUUUUCGGUUCUGGUCGAGCAUUUGUUUUUGUUUCUUCUGUUGGUGUUGGCAGUGAUCGUGGUGGUGGUGGUGGUGGUGGUGCGUGUGCUCCUCACAGGAAUACGAGAACACCUUCUCAUUUUUUCUUCUUGUCGUUGUGAGUGCCUGGGUUCUUCUUUGCCCUCCCUCUCCACAUCGCACAUCACACACACUCGCUCGUUCUCUCUUUGAACCUUUUUACUUUUUCGUUGUUCCUCUCUGUUCUCUCUCUCUCGUGCUUGUUGCAUACUUGACCCUGCCUGUCUGCGUGUGCGUCCCUGUCGGUGUAUCUGUUUCUCUGGGUGUGGGUGUGCGCUUGUGUGCCCCCAUUGGCUGCCUCGGCCCUGCGUGCACGGUGAUUAGUCUUGCUCCCUCCUUCGACUGUGAUGCGCUUUGCGUGCCGUUGCGCACCGACACUCCCUCUUUUCCAUCUCUCCCCCUCCCCCCCCGCACGUGCACAGGCUUUCUUUCCUUAUUACGUGUUCUGCGACGAUACCGACGCGUAGGCUGGAGAUCGUAUGAGCUCUUCACCAUCUGACACUCACUCGUCUGCCUUCCCUGAUGCCACUAGCGUUGCUGCUGCCUUCUCACGUGACGACUUCUUCGAGUGCCCUCGGUGCCACCGACAUUGCAAGAGUCGGACGUGGUUCCUGAAGCACUUGGAGGCGUGCUCCAAGAGCGCCAGCUCCUCCAGCACGCACGGCAAUACGGUAUCAGGCGAGGGCAGCGGUGGAUCCCCCAGGACGGCAGCGUUCGCCACAAAGGUCAAGAACCACCACCGUCACCCUUCGCGUAGCUCCGCCACAGAGGACGUCACGCCGCUGCUGCUCGAGUCGGCGACAUCGACAACCUCGUCGUCGUCCGCUACGUCGUACUCGCACGUGCACAGUCACAAGCCGUCAGGGCUGACCCACCCGACGGGCAGUAGUGGUCGCGAGGUGGCCCCUUCCCACUUGAUAGAGGCAGGGCUCAGCGCCGACACUGGACUCUCGCGCAGCUCUGCCGUUGGCUUUGGCGGGUACCGCGACGGGCGGAGAGAAUCAAAUAACACGACGCCGACGGCAACCUCGCAGGCGUCGCCUCACUGGCCCAUUGAUGAUCUGCCCAUAGCUAGUUCAGCCUCCGGCGUCGGCACAGGUGCCGGCGGUAGCAUCGUAGCCAACGGGAUGUCUAGACCAACGAGCCCCUCGCAGGGAAGCUCAUUGUAUGCUGGAAGUCCGCGUGGGCUUCGUGCGGGUGAGAGCUGCGGCGAGAGCGGCUCUGCUCACGCAUCAACGGCGUUUGGACGCACCUCUGCCCCGGCCGCUGCGGCGGCCUCAUCGUCUUUCUCCACGGCACAACGUGAUGAGGCAGAACAGCAUCGGCAGCCGGCACGUCAGGACAGCUUUCGGCUACAGUCAGACUUCACCUGGACGCAGUACACCCCCAGUGCUUCGGAAGAGGAUGGCGACGACGAGGCGCUGGGCGAACACGACGGCUCUAUCCUCGACCACUCCAGCCGGCAGUUGUUGCGGAGCCUUGGCCGCGUGCAAAGGGGCAACAACCCGGCACCGCGCGAGGCUGGUACCUCGCUCUGCAGCAUUGGUGCAGACCGAUUGAUGGCUCCCGGUGACGCGGACAAGACCCCAGAUAGAUGGGCGUAUGAGCAGCAGCUCAGCGGGAAAAGCAGCCACCACAGAAGCACUCCCCCAAGCGCGGCUGGAGACGUCGGUCGCCACACGGCGACAGGGAUGCUGCAAGGCGCCAGCUUCCCUCUGGAAGGCGAGCAGCAAAUGCAGCGGCGUUUCUCGGCAUCCAUCAGCGAGUUCUCCCCCACAGAGUGCAACGUAAUCGGCGCGGCAGAUGGGUCUCAGAGUGUUGGAAGCGCCUCCAACAGCGACCGCUUUCACCGCUCAGCGCGCGACAGCGCGUCCCCUGUGAGCCCCAUCUGCAUGUCCUCAGCCUCGCCAAUGUUCGUGCAGGCGACAGGGAGUCCCAGCUUGCUACAUAUCAACGUGUCGCCUACGAGCACCACCGCCGCUGGCAGCAGCAUGAGCCGACUCAAUGGAAUGAACGCCAGCUCGAGUGGUGGCGGCGGUCGUACCCCGCGCCACGGCGAUCGCAGCGGCGCCGUCACCCCUCGCGCCAUCUCCUUCCAGCGCGGGCGCGCCGUCGGCUCCGGCGGCUUCGGCAUUGUCUACCAGGCGAUCCUCUCCGAUGGCUCCCUCGCGGCUGUGAAGGAGCUGAAGCUCGAGAACGCUAACUUGAAAGCGAUCGACCGCGAGGUGCGCGCCAUGAGCAGCAUCCCCCCACAUCCGAAUUGCGUCCGCUACCUCGGGUCGCGCUACAGUGCGCAUCACUACUACAUCAUAAUGGAGUACAUUAGCGGUGGCAGCAUCAACUCCUUGCGCAAGUCGGUGGGGCGGUUCCGCGAGUCGGUCUUCCAGCGCUAUGCGUACAUGGUGCUUCUCGGCCUUUCUCACCUCCACGCAAACGGCAUCUUGCACCGCGACAUCAAAGGCGCGAACGUGCUGCUCGACGAGAGCGGAUGUGCGAAGAUUGUCGACUUCGGCUGUAGUGGCAACCUGAACCAAGCCACGACAACGCUGAGCGGCGGUGGCACUCCACUGUGGAUGGCUCCGGAGGUGUGCCGGGGCGAGCCAGCCACGGAGAAGUCCGAUGUCUGGGCCUUUGGCUGCCUGUGCCUAGAGAUGACAAACGACACCGGGAUGCCGUGGAACUUCCCCCCCGGCAUGACCCUGCAGGGUGUUGUGUACGCGUUGGCCUGCGCCAAGUCGCCACCCGCCAUCCCGACCGAUCUUUCUCUCGAGGCGCAGGAUUUCCUGCGGCGCUGCCUGCGGAUCGAUCCAGGCGAGCGAGCCACUGUGGCGGAGCUCUUGCAGCACCCCUUUUUUGACGUGGACCUGAUGGAAGAUUCAGAAGAGGACGAGCUGCUGUCGUCCUACGGGGCGAGCGCGCGGCAGUCGGCCGUGAAGCGAGCUGUCCGGCAAGUGAACCUUAGCAGUGCGCUUGACGCCGCGGCGCACCAGCAGGAGCGGCAGCAGUACCGUGGCGAGGGCGAUGAGGUAGGCGGCGGUGCCAAGGACAUGCAAGUGAGCUCUCCGGUGCAGGUCUUUGCAGGUAUGUCUCUACCGUCACAAGGAAUGCACAGCAGCGGUCACAGGCCCAUUUCGGACCCCGAUGCAGGUGCCCUUUUACGGUCGCCGAAUUCGCAUUCGAAGAGCGCCUCGGGCCCCCAGCUUGAUCACUACACCCGCAGCGUGAAUAUCGGUUUCAGCUUGCAGGCCGUGGAUGAGGAUGACGACGACGAUGGCGGCGGUGCUGAAAAGGCUGAGGACAACGUAGGCCCAAGCCAUAACCUUCUUGGAGGAUCCCCACCGGCCAUUCCAGAGACGGCUGCGUCGACCGAUCGCUGUCGCACGACAUCGUUCAAGUCCGCCGGUGUGGAGGAGGACGAGAACGAGUACACGCAGAUGAUCACGGAAAUUAUCACUCAGGCACGCGAGGCGUACACCGACGAGGAGCGCCGCUUGACGGAGCGGCGGCGGAGGCUAAACAUGAUGCACCGGAGCAGCGACGAGGACACUUCCCUCACAGCCACCAUGAGCAGCGGCAGCGACACCAGCAACAACGGCGGCAGCGCCGGCAGCGACGGCAGCGCCGGCUGCAGCUUUGCUGAGGAGGGGGAGAGGAGCGAGCACGUUGAUAUCGAGAGUGACUUGAGUACUCUCAGCGGCAGCGAUGGGGAUGUCGGGGCCCGCAGCCGUUCUGUUGGUGGUCCUCGUCGCCACUCGCUCGGGACUACGUGGCGCGAUCAGUCUGCACGCGCCUCAGCCGCCACUGAGAACUCAGAGGAGCUGCUGCAGAACACAGACAGGGAAGUGCCGCAUCACGAGCCGGCAUGCGCAGCUCGAGUAAAGGAUCCCACCGCGCCCUCUGCGUCUGCGUUGUCGGCUUGUCGUAGCCGAUUCCCCGGGUCCGACGCACGCGCAAGCACGACCCUUGCGGCGACAUCACCGACCAGCGCACACGUCGGAUCGUGGGACACAUCCAUCUCACUCUACGCAACCAGUCCUUCUUCAAGUACGCGAGGCUUGGAAGCUGGUCCACAGUUUCAGCGGUCGCCCCACGGUUUAGUGCUUCCUCUUCCUCUUGCCUCCUCGUACCCGCGACAACAGCAGCAGCAGCAGCAACAGCAACAGCAGCGCCCCUGCCCGGUCUCGCCGCCGACGCGCCAGAGAGAGGUCAUGAGGAGGGAGCUCCCACGCGAUAAGAGUCGCUCUCGAGGCGGCGCGUCCUUCGGCAAAUCGCCUUACGACGGCGUUGUCGCGAAGGCGGCUGGCGGUGUCGCACGCGCGCCGCGCGAGCCUGGAGGCCCCGUCGGGGUGGCCACUACGAUUCGGCAGCCGGCUGGCUCCUCUCCCCUCUCGCCGCACACCUCCGCGAGUGCGGAGACCCCGCCUCCCCUUUCCAGCUCUCCCGCUACUCAGAGCAGCACCAUCUGUGGCGCUGUUCUCAGUGAGCGCAGCAGCAGCUCGCGUACCCCGCCGCUUACGGUUGGGGGACCGCGCCGCCAGACUCCACCACAGCCGCUGGCCACGACGACCGCGACUUCAUCUGCACACUCCGACAUCGUUGCCUGCCCGAUCGAGUGGUACACGGGUGGCUCGGGUAGACUUGACGUCAGCAGCGCCACCUGGCGUACAGGUGCGUCCGGCCAUCUGCCCAAGGAGCUCUCCAUGGCACAGAAGGAGAUGCAGGAGAUGCUGGACUGGGGGACCAGCAGCGAUCGACAUCACGCCUUGUCCUCCUCGUCGCCGGACAUAGGCCGGCGUAGCUCCAAAGCGUUGCCGACGGCCACCAAUAGCGCCGUUCGCGGAGGUGAAGGCCAUCACAAUCAUCAUCUUCUUCACCAUUUGUGUCACAACCAUGGCGACGAUCUCGACUCCGAAUGCACCGCCGAAGCGGAGUCGCUUUCACACCAUGAGUCGAGGGGGCUGUCGGCGACGGAGACGGUGGCCGCUGCGCAGCAGCCGGCAAAGCGCAAGUUAUGGGGUCUCGGCAUUUUUCGUAAUCUGAGGAGCAAGUAGAGUUUUUGCGUCUGUGCUUGCGGCGUCGGGCGUGUGAGCAACAGCGACAGCGGGUGAGAGAUGCAGCAAGCGGGAGUGCCGCCGUGUGCAUGUGACUGACCGUGUCUUGGCAUCGAUGCAUGCGAUGAGGUGAAAUGGACAUCAUCGCCCCUUCCUUGUGUUACACUCCCGUCCACCACCGGCUCCCUCUCUAUUCCCUCCGCUUUAUGCCGUCAUCCGUUUUGUCACCGCCUCAUCCUCCUCCCUCGUCUUGGUGACGAGAGCGAGAGCGAGAGAGAGGGAGGGCAACUAGGCCAUGUGUGAGGCGGUGGAGGGGUGGUGGUGAAGCGGAGAUUGGAUAAAUGGGACCGGCAGGCAGACAGCGGAAAGGAGUGAGAUGGCUUGCAGCAUAAGGGAUGGCAGGGAGCGGGGCAGGUCGGUGGUGUCUUCAAGAAUAGCCGAUUCUCGCGUCCUUUGCAACCUUUCUUUCCCGUGCUGUUUUCUUUACACAUCUCCCAUAGACUCCACGCGUCUCGUUGUGUCCUGCUCUUUCACGUUGUUUUUCUGACCGGGUACUCACACACCCGGUCGUACACCUCGUGUGGUGCCCCUCUACCUCCUCCUCAUUUUGUCUUCCUCCCGCUUGGGUUGCCUCACCUGCUACGGUUGCUUGUGCACCUCUUCCGUUCCUCUGCCCGUACCCUGCGCCGUUCCCCUCCCCCCCUCGCCAUCCGACAGCGGCGCCUCCUCUCCCCGUCCGUGUCCACACUCCACCUGCCUUGUUCCCUCGUAUUUUCUAGUUUCAUUGCCUCUCUGCGCGUUACUUCGUAAUGCGCACUGUUCAUCGGUCCUUGUAUCCCCCUUCAACGCGUUGCUUCCGUUGUCUCUUUUCCUCUGCGUGUGCUUGCCCGUUCUUUGUCCGUCUGUUUUGAUGCCUUCCCCCAUACCCCGCCGACCUGAGGCCGAAUACUUGUAUUUCGUCUGUAUGUGUGUGCGCACGUCGCUGGCUCGCUUUCUAGUGACUUUCCUUGCUUAUCACAUACUCUGAUGUCCUUGUCUAUUUCUGUGUAUGUGUACUGUCUGCGUGUCUGACACUUGAACACCAGUGCGCCUGUGUGCAUGCAUAUGAGUGUUUACCGUCUCGUGGUUUCAAGUGCUCCCUCUCUCUUUCCUUUUUCCGCCUCCCCCUCCUCCCUCCUCUUGCUUUAUGCGCGUGUGUGUGUGUUCAGCCUUUCCGCCUUGCUUCCCGAGCUUCGCUUAAGACACACGAAAAGAGAGGGGUAUACACCACCUACUCAGUAGCAACAACGUGAGCAGCGUACCUUCGGCACCACGGUAGACAAGGGCAAAUGGGCGGGCUUGAGGUAUGUAUGUGUGUGUAUGUGUGAGCAGACGCGGUAGGCACACCGGUGAUAGCACCAAACAAUCGCUGUGCCCCCGCCUCUAAUUUUUUGUUGUUGUUGUUGUUCGCCGUUUGGGGCAUGCGAAUGUUUUGCGUUGUUUUCCCUCUCUCGUGCGUUGCGCUUUGUUUUAUACGCUUGUGUCCGGAUAGAGUGGGGAGCCCUCAUACG
rnacentral:misc_RNA from 1 species